GUCGACUUCGGGCCAGACGAGCGUGUAGUAGGCACGGGGCUUGGGUGGGUGGGAAGCACUGGGCGGAAAGGAUGCGUAGGCGGGGUUGUAAGUCAGGGGUGAAAUCCUGGAGCUAAACUCCAGAACUGCCUUGGAUACUGAAGAUCUUGAGUUCGGGAGAGGUGAGGGGAACUGCGAGUGUAGAGGUGAAAUUCGUAGAUAUUCGCAAGAACACCAGUGGCGAAGGCGGCUCACUGGCCCGAUACUGACGCUGAGGCACGAAAGCGUGGGGAGCAAACAGGAUUAGAUACCCCAGUAGUC
rnacentral:rRNA from 1 species